GUGCUCACUUCAGCAGCACAUACAUUAAAAUUAGAAUGAUACAGAGAAGUUUCGCAUGGCUCCUGCACAAGGAUGACAUGUUUAAAAAAAUUUCUUUCUUCUUU
rnacentral:snRNA from 1 species